UACGGGGGGGGCAAGCGUUGUUCGGAAUUACUGGGCGUAAAGGGCUUGUAGGCGGCCAACUAAGUCAUACGUGAAAUCCCUCGGCUUAACCGGGGAACUGCGUCUGAUACUGGAUGGCUUGAGAUUGGGAGAGGGAUGCGGAAUUCCAGGUGUAGCGGUGAAAUGCGUAGAUAUCUGGAGGAACACCGGUGGCGAAGGCGGCAUCCUGGACCAACACUGACGCUGAGGAGCGAAAGCCAGGGGAGCAAAGC
rnacentral:rRNA from 1 species